rnacentral:rRNA from 2 species
AAAUUGAAGAGUUUGAUCAUGGCUCAGAUUGAACGCUGGCGGCAGGCCUAACACAUGCAAGUCGAACGGUAACAGGAAGCAGCUUGCUGCUUCGCUGACGAGUGGCGGACGGGUGAGUAAUGUCUGGGAAACUGCCUGAUGGAGGGGGAUAACUACUGGAAACGGUGGCUAAUACCGCAUAACGUCGCAAGACCAAAGAGGGGGACCUUCGGGCCUCUUGCCAUCAGAUGUGCCCAGAUGGGAUUAGCUGGUUGGUGAGGUAACGGCUCACCAAGGCGACGAUCCCUAGCUGGUCUGAGAGGAUGACCAGCCACACUGGAACUGAGACACGGUCCAGACUCCUACGGGAGGCAGCAGUGGGGAAUAUUGCACAAUGGGCGCAAGCCUGAUGCAGCCAUGCCGCGUGUAUGAAGAAGGCCUUCGGGUUGUAAAGUACUUUCAGCGGGGAGGAAGGUGUUGUGGUUAAUAACUGCAGCAAUUGACGUUACCCGCAGAAGAAGCACCGGCUAACUCCGUGCCAGCAGCCGCGGUAAUACGGAGGGUGCAAGCGUUAAUCGGAAUUACUGGGCGUAAAGCGCACGCAGGCGGUCUGUCAAGUCGGAUGUGAAAUCCCCGGGCUCAA